CCCUUAGAUGCUCUGGGCCGCACGCGCGCUACACUGAUUCAUGCAACAAGUUUUGUCCUUGGCUGAUAGGCCUGGGUAAUCUUUGAACGUGAAUCGUGAUGGGGAUAGAUGAUUGCAAUUAUUCAUCUUCAACGAGGAAUUCCUAGUAAACGCAAGUCAUCAGCUUGCAUUGAUUACGUCCCUGCCCUUUGUACACACCGCCCGUCGCACCUACCGAUUGAAUGGUCCGGUGAAAUCUUCGGAUCUGAGAGAUGUCUGAUUAAUUUCGGACGCCUUUUGGAAAAGUUGCUUAAACCUUACCAUUUAGAGGAAGGUGAANUCGUAACA
rnacentral:rRNA from 1 species